rnacentral:rRNA from 1 species
GACGAACGCUGGCGGCGCGCCUAACACAUGCAAGUCGAACGAGCGAGAGAGAGCUUGCUUUCUCAAGCGAGUGGCGAACGGGUGAGUAACGCGUGAGGAACCUGCCUCAAAGAGGGGGACAACAGUUGGAAACGACUGCUAAUACCGCAUAAGCCCACAGCUCGGCAUCGAGCAGAGGGAAAAGGAGUGAUCCGCUUUGAGAUGGCCUCGCGUCCGAUUAGCUAGUUGGUGAGGUAACGGCCCACCAAGGCGACGAUCGGUAGCCGGACUGAGAGGUUGAACGGCCACAUUGGGACUGAGAUACGGCCCAG